GAUGAAGAACGUAGCGAAAUGCGAUAAGUAAUGUGAAUUGCAGAAUUCCGUGAAUCAUCGAAUCUUUGAACGCACAUUGCGCCCCCUGGUAUUCCGGGGGGCAUGCCUGUCCGAGCGUCAUUGCAACCCUCAAGCGCGGCUUGUGUGUUGGGCUUCGUCCCCCCGUGGACGUGCCCGAAAGGCAGUGGCGGCGUCCCGAAUGGUGCCCGAGCGUAUGGGAACUCUCUUCCGCUCGAACCGGCCCAUUCGGCGCUGGUCGAACCCCAAUUUUUUUUUACCGGUUGACCUCGGAUCAGGUAGGGAUACCCGCUGAACUUAAGCAUAUCAAUAAGCGGGGA
rnacentral:misc_RNA from 1 species